rnacentral:lncRNA from 1 species
AAAAUUGUUUACUCUAGCUGGAGUGAAUUGAUUACCAGCUGUCUCUCUUAUUAAACUGACGUGGAGACAGACAUACAGACAAGAUCUGCGUUUACAAUUUGUGUGUUCUGAAAUGGCUCCUAGUCAGGCUGAUGCUAAAAAUAUAUCAAGCCACUUUUCAGAAGCAUCAACAACCUGUAGUUAGAGUAUAGUUAUAGUAUAGCUGGGGAUGUCGUUAUAGUAUAGUUAUAGUGAAGCUGGGAAUGUAGUUAUAGUAUAGUUAUAGUAUAGCUGGGGAUGUAGUUAUAGUAUAGUUAUAGUAUAGUUAUAGUAUAACCGGGGGUGUAAUUAUAGUAUAGCCGGGGAUGUAGUUACAGUAUAGUUGGGGGUGUAGUUAUAGUAUAGUUGGGGAUGUAGUUAUAGUAUGGUUGGGGAUGUAGUUAUAGUAUAGUUAUAGUAUAGCUGGGGAUGUAGUUAUAGUAUAGUUAUAGUGUAGCUGGGAAUGUAGUUAUAGUAUAGUUAUAGUAUAGUUGGGGAUGUAGUUAUAGUAUAGUUGGGGAUGUAGUUAUAGUAUAGUUAUAGUAUAGUUGGGGAUGUAGUUAUAGUAUAGUUAUAGUAUAGCUGGGGAUGUAGUUAUAGUAUAGUUAUAGUAUAGUUGGGGAUGUAGUUAUAGUAUAGUUAUAGUAUAGUUGGGGAUGUGGUUAUAGUAUAGUUAUAGUAUAGUUGGGGAUGUAGUUAUAGUAUAGUUGGGGAUGUAGUUAUAGUAUAGUUGGGGAUGUAGUUAUAGUAUAGUUGGGGAUGUAGUUAUAGUAUAGUUGGGGAUGUAGUUAUAGUAUAGUUGGGGAUGUAGUUAUAGUAUAGUUAUAGUAUAGUUGGGGAUGUAGUUAUAGUAUAGUUAUAGUAUAGUUGGAAAUGUAGUUAUAGUAUAGUUAUGGUAUAGUUGGGGAUGUAGUUGUAGUAUAGUUAUAGUAUAGUUGGGGAUGUAGUUAUAGUAUAGUUAUAGUAUAGUUGGGGAUGUAGUUAUAGUAUAGUUAUAAAAUAGUUGGGGAUGUAGUUAUAGUAUAGUUAUGGUAUAGUUGGGGAUGUAGUUGUAGUAUAGUUAUAGUAUAGAUGGGGAUGUAGUUAUAGUAUAGUUGGGGAUGUAGUUAUAGUAUAGUUAUAGUAUAGUUGGGGAUGUAGUUAUAGUAUAGUUAUAGUAUUUUAGGGGGAUGUAGUUAUAGUAUAGUUAUAGUAUAGUUGGGGCUGUAGUUAUAGUAUAGUUAUGGUAUAGUUGGGGAUGUAGUUGUAGUAUAGUUAUAGUAUAGUUGGGGAUGUAGUUAUAGUAUAGUUAUAGUAUAGUUGGGGAUGUAGUUAUAGUAUAGUUGGGGAUGUAGUUAUAGUAUAGUUAUAGUAUAGUUGGGGAUGUAGUUAUAGUAUAGUUAUGGUAUAGUUGGGGAUGUAGUUGUAGUAUAGUUAUGGUAUAGUUGGGGACGUAGUUGUAGUAUAGUUAUAGUAUAGUUGGGGAUGUAGUUGUAGUAUAGUUAUAGUAUAGUUGGGGAUGUAGUUAUAGUAUAGUUGGGGAUGUAGGUAUAGUAUAGUUGGGGAUGUAGUUAUAGUAUAUUUGGGGAUGUAGUUAUAGUAUAGUUACAGUAUAGUUGGGGAUGUAGUUAUAGCAUAGUUAUAGUAUAGUUGGGGAUGUAGUUGUAGUAUAGUUAUAGUAUAGUUGGGGAUGUAGUUGUAGUAUAGUUAUAGUAUAGUUGGGGAUGUAGUUAUGGUAUAGUUGGGGAUGUAGUUAUAGUAUAGUUAUAGUAUAGUUGGGGAUGUAGUUAUAGUAUAGUUAUAGUAUAGUUGGGGAUGUAGUUAUAGUAUAGUUAUAGUAUAGUUGGGGAUGUAGUUAUAGUAUAGUUAUAGUAUAGUUGGGGAUGUAGUUAUAGUAUAGGUAUGGUAUAGUUGGGGGUGUAGUUGUAGUAUAGUUAUAGUAUAGUUGGGGAUGUAGAUAUAGUAUAGUUAUAGUAUAGUUGGGGAUGUAGUUAUAGUAUAGUUGGGGAUGUAGUUAUAGUAUAGUAAUAGUAUAGUUGGGGAUGUAGUUAUAGUAUAGUUAUAGUAUAUUUGGGGAUGUAGUUAUAGUAUAGUUAUGGUAUAGUUGGGGAUGUGGUUGUAGUAUAGUUAUAGUAUAGUUGGGGAUGUAGUUAUAGUAUAGUUAUAGUAUAGUUGGGGAUGUAGUUAUAGUAUAGUUGGGGAUGUAGUUAUAGUAUAGUUAUAAAAUAGUUGGGGAUGUAGUUAUAGUAUAGUUAUGGUAUAGUUGGGGAUAUAGUUGUAGUAUAGUUAUAGUAUAGAUGGGGAUGUAGUUAUAGUAUAGUUGGGGAUGUAGUUAUAGUAUAGUUAUAGUAUAGUUGGGGCUGUAGUUAUAGUAUAGUUAUGGUAUAGUUGGGGAUGUAGUUGUAGUAUAGUUAUAGUAUAGUUGGGGAUGUAGUUAUAGUAUAGUUAUAGUAUAGUUGGGGAUGUAGUUAUAGUAUAGUUGGGGAUGUAGUUAUAGUAUAGUUAUAGUAUAGUUGGGGAUGUAGUUAUAGUAUAGUUAUGGUAUAGUUGGGGAUGUAGUUGUAGUAUAGUUAUGGUAUAGUUGGGGACGUAGUUGUAGUAUAGUUAUAGUAUAGUUGGGGAUGUAGUUGUAGUAUAGUUAUAGUAUAGUUGGGGAUGUAGUUAUAGUAUAGUUGGGGAUGUAGGUAUAGUAUAGUUGGGGAUGUAGUUAUAGUAUAUUUGGGGAUGUAGUUAUAGUAUAGUUACAGUAUAGUUGGGGAUGUAGUUACAGCAUAGUUAUAGUAUAGUUGGGGAUGUAGUUGUAGUAUAGUUAUAGUAUAGUUGGGGAUGUAGUUGUAGUAUAGUUAUAGUAUAGUUGGGGAUGUAGUUAUGGUAUAGUUGGGGAUGUAGUUAUAGUAUAGUUAUAGUAUAGUUGGGGAUGUAGUUAUAGUAUAGUUAUAGUAUAGUUGGGGAUGUACUUAUAGUAUAGUUAUAGUAUAGUUGGGGAUGUAGUUAUAGUAUAGUUGGGGAUGUAGUUAUAGUAUAGUUAUAGUAUAGUUGGGGAUGUAGUUAUAGUAUAGUUAUGGUAUAGUUGGGGGUGUAGUUGUAGUAUAGUUAUAGUAUAGUUGGGGAUGUAGAUAUAGUAUAGUUAUAGUAUAGUUGGGGAUGUAGUUAUAGUAUAGUUGGGGAUGUAGUUAUAGUAUAGUAAUAGUAUAGUUGGGGAUGUAGUUAUAGUAUAGUUAUAGUAUAUUUGGGGAUGUAGUUAUAGUAUAGUUAUGGUAUAGUUGGGGAUGUGGUUGUAGUAUAGUUAUAGUAUAGUUGGGGAUGUAGUUAUAGUAUAGUUAUAUUAUAGUUGGGGAUGUAGUUAUAGUAUAGUUGGGGAUGUAGUUAUAGUAUAGUUAUAGUAUAGUUAUAUUAUAGUUGGGGAUUUAGUUAUAGUAUAGUUGGGGAUGUAGUUAUAGUAUAGUUAUAGUAUAGUUGGGGAUGUAGUUAUAGUAUACUUAUGGUAUAGUUGGGGAUGUAGUUGUAGUAUAGUUAUAGUAUAGUUGGGGAUGUAGUUAUAGUAUAGUUGGGGAUGUAGUUAUAGUAUAGUUAUAGUAUAGUUGGGGAUGUAGUUAUAGUAUAGUUAUAGUAUAGUUGGGGAUGUAGUUAUAGUAUAGUUAUAGUAUAGCUGGGGAUGUAGUUAUAGUAUAGUUAUAGUAUAGUUGGGGAUGUAGUUAUAGUAUAGUUAUAGUAUAGUUGGGGAUGUGGUUAUAGUAUAGUUAUAGUAUAGUUGGGGAUGUAGUUAUAGUAUAGUUGGG